UGGGGAAUAUUGCACAAUGGAGGGAACUCUGAUGCAGCGACGCCGCGUGAACGAAGAAGGCUUUCGAGUCGUAAAGUUCUUUUAUAUGGGAAGAUAAUGACGGUACCAUAAGAAAAAGCCCCGGCUAACUACGUGCCAGCAGCCGCGGUAAUACGUAGGGGGCUAGCGUUGUCCGGAAUCACUGGGCGUAAAGGGUUCGCAGGCGGAAAUGCAAGUCAGGUGUAAAAGGCAGUAGCUUAACUACUGUAAGCAUUUGAAACUGCAUAUCUUGAGAAGAGUAGAGGUAAGUGGAAUUUUUAGUGUAGCGGUGAAAUGCGUAGAUAUUAAAAAGAAUACCGGUGGCGAAGGCGGCUUACUGGGCUCAUUCUGACACUGAGGAACGAAAGCGUGGGUAGCAAACAGG
rnacentral:rRNA from 1 species